GACGAACGCUGGCGGCGUGCCUAACACAUGCAAGUCGAGCGGAGCCAAUCGACGGAAUCCUUCGGGAGGAAGACGAGGAAGCUUAGCGGCGGACGGGUGAGUAACGCGUGAGUAACCUGCCCAUAAGAGGGGGAUAACACAUUGAAAAGUGUGCUAAUACCGCAUAUUGAGCGAUGACCGCAUGGUCGAUGUUUGAAAGAUUUAUCGCUUAUGGAUGGACUCGCGUCUGAUUAGCUAGUUGGCGGGGUAACGGCCCACCAAGGCGACGAUCAGUAGCCGAACUGAGAGGUUGAUCGGCCACAUUGGGACUGAGACACGGCCCAGACUCCUACGGGAGGCAGCAGUGGGGAAUAUUGCGCAAUGGGGGGAACCCUGACGCAGCAACGCCGCGUGAAGGAAGAAGGCCUCGG
rnacentral:rRNA from 1 species